rnacentral:rRNA from 1 species
UACAGAGGUCUCAAGCGUUGUUCGGAUUCAUUGGGCGUAAAGGGUGCGUAGGCGGCGCGGUAAGUCGGGUGUGAAAUCUCGGGGCUUAACUCCGAAACUGCAUUCGAUACUACCGUGCUUGAGGACUGGAGAGGAGACUGGAAUUUACGGUGUAGCGGUGAAAUGCGUAGAUAUCGUAAGGAAGACCAGUGGCGAAGGCGGGUCUCUGGACCACUACUGACGCUGAGGAACGAAAGCUAGGGGAGCAAACAGG